AUAACCUCUUUCUCCCUUGCCUAUCUUUCAGAAGCAUCGCUCGGUGAAGAAUGCAUUAAAGAAGCCUUAUUGGAACAAGACCAGGCGGCAAGAGUUAUGAGAUAAAGACUGCUUGCUGAAUCAGAAGCAUCGCUCGGUGAAGAAUGCAUUAAAGAAGCCUUAUUGGAACAAGACCAGGCGGCAAGAGUUAUGAGAUAAAGACUGCUUGCUGAAUCAGAAGCAUCGCUCGGUGAAGAAUGCAUUAAAGAAGCCUUAUUGGAACAAGACCAGGCGGCAAGAGUUAUGAGAUAAAGACUGCUUGCUGAAUCAGAAGCAUCGCUCGGUGAAGAAUGCAUUAAAGAAGCCUUAUUGGAACAAGACCAGGCGGCAAGAGUUAUGAGAUAAAGACUGCUUGCUGAAUCAGAAGCAUCGCUCGGUGAAGAAUGCAUUAAAGAAGCCUUAUUGGAACAAGACCAGGCGGCAAGAGUUAUGAGAUAAAGACUGCUUGCUGAAUCAGAAGCAUCGCUCGGUGAAGAAUGCAUUAAAGAAGCCUUAUUGGAACAAGACCAGGCGGCAAGAGUUAUGAGAUAAAGACUGCUUGCUGAAUCAGAAGCAUCGCUCGGUGAAGAAUGCAUUAAAGAAGCCUUAUUGGAACAAGACCAGGCGGCAAGAGUUAUGAGAUAAAGACUGCUUGCUGAAUCAGAAGCAUCGCUCGGUGAAGAAUGCAUUAAAGAAGCCUUAUUGGAACAAGACCAGGCGGCAAGAGUUAUGAGAUAAA